CCAACGCUUUGGCUGGUUCUGUCCAUGUUGUCAUCACCAUGCUGUGUCAAAAUCCGUACCUCUGCGUCACUGAGCGAGACACAUAAUAGAUGUCUAGAAAGAAGCCAAGUUACUGUAGUCACAGUAUGAAUGUUCUGGAGAGUGCUGGCACUGUAAGAGUUGAAAGCCUGGGAUCACCUCCUCCUAUUGAUCAAGGAUGCCAAGUAAUGAAAGCUGGAACACUCAGCCAAGCACCCGUCACUGACAUGAAACAAUGUGGACUUGUGGGCACGCCCUUCACAGCUACUGAGAGGAGUUGGUACCGUAAGAGUGGUGAACAGUGUUCAAUGAAAGCCCUAGAUGUAUGCCAAGAAGAAAACAAAGGAAGACUUAGCGCUGUACCUUUGAGAAAAGGGAGAUGAUUAGAAGUUACCUGACUUGAAGGUCGCCAGUGCAGUGGGGAACUGGGCAAGAAUUCUGAUCUUGUUUCAAGGUCCAAGUGAUGCUACUUCUCAGUUGACGCAAUCGGAAUGUUCUUUAGGGAAAUGCUGGUCUGCCCAGGAAUCUAACGGAAUGGGCAACACACA